AACGAACGCUGGCGGCAUGCCUAACACAUGCAAGUCGAACGAGACCUUCGGGUCUGGUGGCGCACGGGUGCGUAACGCGUGGGAACCUGCCCUUAGGUUCGGAAUAACUCCCCGAAAGGGGUGCUAAUACCGGAUAAUGUCUUCGGACCAAAGAUUUAUCGCCUUUGGAUGGGCCCGCGUUGGAUUAGCUAGUUGGUAGGGUAAAAGCCUACCAAGGCGACGAUCCAUAGCUGGUCAGAGAGGAUGAUCAGCCACACUGAGACUGAGACACGGCCCAGAAUCCUACGGGAGGCAGCAGUGGGGAAUAUUGGACAAUGGGCGAAAGCCUGAUCCAGCAAUGACGGGUGAGUGAUGAAGGCCUUAGGGUUGUAAAGCUCUUUUACCCGGGAUGAUAAUGACAGUACCGGGAGAAUAAGCUCCGGCUAACUCCGUG
rnacentral:rRNA from 1 species